UGCUCCUCUCUCUCUCUCUCUCUGGCGAUUCCAGAUCUAAAUCUAGGGUUUGUCUCCAAGGCGAUUUAAGAUCUAGCCUUUCUCAUUGACACUAGAUCGAGGAUCUUCAAGGUGGGUUUAUGGCAUCUUCAAGGUGAGUUUUGCCAUCACCAAUCUCCAAAGAAUCAAGCAAUCUGACCCAGGGUUCCAACUAAUGACGAAGGUCGACAAAUUAGAGUUUUGACUACCGAUCUACUUCUACAUGUAUGCUCUGCAGACUAUCAAGGGUUUUGAGGUUACAUGAUUAACAGAGGUGAAGAUGGAGUCACGAGUUAACAGAGGUGAAGAUGGAGUCGCAGGGGUUCUUCUACAUCACAGGACUUUCACACCUUUUGUUGGGCAUAAUUAGCCUUAUGGUCGAGUUUACUAUGAAGGAUUUUAAGAUUCCACGGAACCUGCAUUAAAGUUAGACUUCAUGCGACUUUUGAGCUGUUUGGUCCAUUCAACCAGUUUGAUUGGUUUACUCUUACCCAAAUUCAAAAUCAAGAUAGAACAUAACCCAAACUGACCCACUUGUAAAUAACAAUGGCAACCGGACUGGAAUCAAAACUUCGUUAUGCAUCAGUUCAUAUUCUGUCUGAUACCAUGGAAGCUGCAAGAAAACCGUCUGUUGCUGCUAUUGUUGGGGUUGCUUUAGGUGGCGGAUUAGAGGCUGCAAUGGUACUGCCGUUGUUAAGAGAGAAGCAUGACGAGUUCAUGUUGAGGGAGCUUGUGAAACGAUGGUCAAAUCAUAAAAUAAUGGUUAGGUGGCUUUAACGUUUUUUCCAUUAUCUUGAUCGCUAUUUUAUUAAUCGAAGGUCCCUACCUGCAUGAAGUUGGUCUAACCUGUUUUCGUGAAUGGGUUAGUAUUUACUUCAGUUACUUAAGCACACAGUUCUUUACAGGUGUUGGUUUUUUUUUUUUGUUGCUGAUGAUUUUUCAUAUAAGUUUAUGAGGAGACAAAACAUCAGAAGCUCACGUUUUCCAGGUAAGUUUUUUAGAACAAAGAUGUGAACGCUUGUCUUAAUGUUAAGUAUGUUGCCAAUGUUGUUUCAUGUACAGGAUGCACUUGGCACAUCGUUGGAAGUAAUAUGCAAAGUAGUCCCUGGUGGAUGCUUAGACCCGAAUGAGAGUAUUGUUACUAUUUUCAUGUGAUUUUGGUCUAUCAUUAUGACAUGUCAGAGAAGGGUUGAUGUCUUAUAAGCAAUUUAUUCAGGAGCUUGAAGAUGAUGUUCUGCCAUCAGAAGCUGAACAAAGGUAUCAAGAAUACAAGUCAGAGUAUAUAUCAACUCAGAAAUGGGCUUAUUUUGAUGCUCAUAAAGGCGAAGACUGGUUGAAAGAUAAAUAUCACCCUACAAAUCUGCUCGUGGUUAUUGAAAGGUACCAUGUCUCUCUUUUUGCCACUUGGAAACAAAGGGGAAUGCAUUUCUCAGUUGCUUCUGGUUCUUAGCAAAAUGAAUUUGGUUUUCAGUUAUGUGCCUGAAUUUUAUUUAGAAACUCUGGUUGAUUGUUUUCAUGUUUUGCGAAAGAGUGAUCCUCCUUUUGUUUAUAAAACAAGGACUUGGUUCAUUUGUACGUUCCACUUUUUCAAUGUUUGUAAGUUUAUAACUACGGAUAUAAACUAUUUACGUAUAAACUAAUGUUUUCGAUGUUUUUAUUCAGGUUACUUUUGUGGUUACCCAUUUCAGCGACCCGAGAAUAUCAAGCACAGAACUAAGAGAUCUACUUCUGCAAUCAAUUUCUGUAUUAGUUCAGUACAAAGAGUUUUUGGCUGCUUUUGAGAGCAACCGAGCAGCAACUCGUAGCCUCCCAACAUCACUUUUAUCAGUCUUUGAUAACCGAUCAUGGAUUCCUGUAACGAUUUGAGUUGUGGCUGCAAGUUUUGUAUCGGGUUACAAGUUGUCGGAUUCGGCUCAAGAAGGUGGCGACCCAUGUUUGCCGGUUGCAUGGUCAUGGUUGGAGUGUAAUUCAGAUCGUGAACCGAAGAUUAUAUCGGUGUAUGUUUCUUGACUUUAUUUAUCUUGAUGUUAACUCCAAUGUAGAAAAUAAAAAGCAAGACCGGUGUGAUUUACACGAACGCGAAAACGUUGUUAUAUUUCUCCAUCGCAAUGAUUGCUCGCAAGGUUGGCCCUGCUCUUGCCUGUGGCUGUACUGUGGUCAUAAAGCCCUCUGAGCUCACACCAUUGACCGCCUUAGCAGCAGCUGAGCUGGCCCUUCAAUCUGGAAUUCCGCCUGGUGUCUUGAAUGUGGUCAUGGGAUAUCCUCCUAGCAUUGGUGAUUCUCUACUAUAGAGCACACAGGUUUGUUUUUAUUAGAUAGUUUACAUUAGUUACGGUUUAUUGUAAUUCGUUUUAAAGAUAUUUUAACAAAUGAAACAAUCAUCUGUUUGUUUAUCUCCACAAGCGAUGCUAUUUUUUAUGUCUAACAACAAUGGCAAU
rnacentral:lncRNA from 1 species